CUACACAUGCAAGUCGAACGCGUCUUCGGGACGAGUGGCAGACGGGUGAGUAACGCGUGGGAACGUACCCUUUGGUUCGGAACAACGCCGGGAAACUGGCGCUAAUACCGGAUAAGCCCUUCGGGGGAAAGAUUUAUCGCCAGAGGAUCGGCCCGCGUUAGAUUAGCUUGUUGGUGAGGUAAUGGCUCACCAAGGCUACGAUCUAUAGCUGGUCUGAGAGGAUGAUCAGCCACACUGGGGCUGAGACACGGCCCAGACUCUUACGGGAGGCAGCAGUGGGGAAUCUUGGACAAUGGGCGAAAGCCUGAUCCAGCCAUGCCGCGUGAAUGAUGAAGGCCCUAGGGUUGUAAAAUUCUUUCGACGGGGAAGAUAAUGACGGUACCCGUAGAAGAAGCUCCGGCUAACUUCGUGCCAGCAGCCGCGGUAAUACGAAGGGGGCUAGCGUUGUUCGGAAUUACUGGGCGUAAAGCGCACGUAGGCGGAUCGAUAAGUAAGAGGUGAAAUCCCAGAGCUCAACUCUGGAACUGCCUUUUAAACUGUCGAUCUGGAGCAGAGUAGAGGUGAGUGGAAUUCCGAGUGUAGAGGUGAAAUUCGUAGAUAUUCGGAG
rnacentral:rRNA from 1 species